CAUUGGCGGCCGGUCUUAACAUGCAAGUCGAACGAUGAACCACUUCGGUGGGGAUUAGUGGCGAACGGGUGAGUAACACGUGGGCAAUCUGCCCUUCACUCUGGGACAAGCCCUGGAAACGGGGUCUAAUACCGGAUAACACUUCCGUCCUCCUGGACGGUGGUUAAAAGCUCCGGCGGUGAAGGAUGAGCCCGCGGCCUAUCAGCUUGUUGGUGAGGUAAUGGCUCACCAAGGCGACGACGGGUAGCCGGCCUGAGAGGGCGACCGGCCACACUGGGACUGAGACACGGCCCAGACUCCUACGGGAGGCAGCAGUGGGGAAUAUUGCACAAUGGGCGAAAGCCUGAUGCAGCGACGCCGCGUGAGGGAUGACGGCCUUCGGGUUGUAAACCUCUUUCAGCAGGGAAGAAGCGAAAGUGACGGUACCUGCAGAAGAAGCGCCGGCUAACUACGUGCCAGCAGCCGCGGUAAUACGUAGGGCGCAAGCGUUGUCCGGAAUUAUUGGGCGUAAAGAGCUCGUAGGCGGCUUGUCACGUCGGUUGUGAAAGCCCGGGGCUUAACCCCGGGUCUGCAGUCGAUACGGGCAGGCUAGAGUGUGGUAGGGGAGAUCGGAAUUCCUGGUGUAGCGGUGAAAUGCCCAGAUAUCAGGAGGAACACCGGUGGGCGAAGGCGGGAUCUC
rnacentral:rRNA from 1 species